CCUACGGGAGGCAGCAGUGAGGAAUAUUGGUCAAUGGACGCAAGUCUGAACCAGCCAUGCCGCGUGCAGGAAGACGGCUCUAUGAGUUGUAAACUGCUUUUGUACGAGGGUAAACGCAGAUACGCGUAUCUGUCUGAAAGUAUCGUACGAAUAAGGAUCGGCUAACUCCGUGCCAGCAGCCGCGGUAAUACGGAGGAUUCAAGCGUUAUCCGGAUUUAUUGGGUUUAAAGGGUGCGUAGGAGGUUGGAUAAGUUAGUGGUGAAAGCCCGCGGCUCAACUUUGAAAUUGCCUUUGAUACUGUUAGGCUAGAGAGUAGUUGCGGUAGGCGGAAUGUAUGGUGUAGCGGUGAAAUGCUUAGAGAUCAUACAGAACACCGAUUGCGAAGGCAGCUUACCAAGCUACUUCUGACGUUGAGGCACGAAAGCGUGGGGAGCAAACAGGAUUAGAUACCCCUGUAGUC
rnacentral:rRNA from 1 species